AGGACGAACGCUGGCGGCGUGCUUAACACAUGCAAGUCGAGCGGAAAGGCCUUUCGGGGUACUCGAGCGGCGAACGGGUGAGUAACACGUGAGUAAUCUGCCCAUCGCUUCAGGAUAGCCAUCGGAAACGGUGAUUAAUACUGGAUAUGACAUUCCUUCGCAUGUUGGGGUGUGGAAAGUUUUUCGGCGGUGGAUGUGCUCGCGGCCUAUCAGCUUGUUGGUGGGGUAAUGGCCUACCGAAGGCUUUGACGGGUAGCCGGCCGUGAGAGGGUGACCGGCCACACUGGGACUGGAGACACGGCCCAGACCUCCGUACGGGAGGCAGCAGGUGGGGAAUAGUUGGACAAGUGGGCGGAAGCCUGAUCCAGCAACGCCGCGUGAGGAGUGACCGGUCCUUCGGGUUACGUUAAACCUUCGUUUCCGAGACGACGAAGACGUAAGUUUUU
rnacentral:rRNA from 1 species